CCUUCGAUAGCUCAGUUGGUAGAGCGGAGGACUGUAGGAGAGAGUGCUGAAAUCCUUAGGUUGCUGGUUCAACUCCGGCUCGAAGGA
rnacentral:tRNA from 1 species